CAAUACAGUUUAUAUAUGGACUGGAUAGAAGAACAUAAAUCCUGCAAGAAGGUCAAAUGUAAAGUGAAACAAGGACCUGCAGCUUAACUGCAAGACAUAAAUAACAAGAGUCUUAGGGACGGACGUACGUAAGAUAUCAAUGAAAAACUGAUUCAAAACCUUACAACAACAUAGUCAAAUUAAGAUCCGCCAUCUUGGCUCUUUCCCGAGCCAUUUUAUCAUUCGAGUCACAGAUUUUUCCAAUCUUUGGAUCCAUCUAUCGAGUUAUUUCGAGCUGAUUAGAAUACAAACACAAGGAGGCAGCGACGAUAAGUUGGAGAAAGAGAGAUGCCGACAAAGAGCAUCUUUUUAAAGAUAAACAUGUUGGUUGUACAAGUUUAUGGGUUUGCGUAGAGCAGGUCAUGCGAGUGCGAGUUUGGCAAGCUAGCAGGCAGGCAGGUGUAGGUUUAGGUAAUGGUAGCAGCAGCAGUGCAUUUGUUUGUUUGAUUCAUUCAUUCAUGAGUUAACGCAGAGCAAGCAUGAGAGCGGCAGCCAUAUCUCCGGCGAUCGUGCAGUUUUUGUCAGCGGCACUCACGCGUCUUUACUCUUCCUUGACACUCUGGAUUAUGCGGUCAAACAACACCUCUUCUAAUUACACCCUGUAUCCUUUUUUGGCUUAUUGUCUUCUCUCUCCUGACAAUUUGGUCAUUAACGAUUUUAAGAUGCUUAAUUUCGCUUUCGAAUUUUGUGUAAAUUUCAAUUGAUUUAAUAUCAAAUCUAUUUGUUUC